AUUGAACGCUGGCGGCGUGCCUAACACAUGCAAGUCGAGCGGAGCGGCGGGCGGGUGAGUCAUGCCUGGGACUCUGCCCGGUAGUUGGGGAUAACGUCCGGAACGGGGCGCUAAUCCCGCAUACUAUCAGAUGAGCCUAGGUCGGAUUGGCUAGUUGGUGGGGUAAAGGCCUACCAAGGCGACGAUCCGUAACCGGUCUGAGAGGAGGAUCAGUCACACUGGAAAUGAGACACGGUCAAGACGACGACGGGAGGAAGCAGUGGGGAAUGUGGGACAAUGGGCGAAAGCCUGAUCCAGCCAGGCCGCGUGUGUGGAGAAGGUCCUCGGAUUGUAAAGCACUUUAAGUGGGGAGGCGGUACCGACAGAAUAAGCACCGGCUAACUUCGUGCCAGCCGCCGCGGUAAUUC
rnacentral:rRNA from 1 species